rnacentral:rRNA from 1 species
GACAGAGGGUGCAAACGUUGUUCGGAAUUACUGGGCGUAAAGCGUGCGCAGGCGGUUCGUUGUGUCGGUGGUGAAAGCCCCGGGCUUAACCUGGGAAUGGCCAUGGAAACUGGCGAACUGGAAUGUGGCAGAGGGGGGUGGAAUUCCGCGUGUAGCAGUGAAAUGCGCAGAUAUCAGGAGGAACACCGGUGGCGAAGGCGGUUCUCUGGGCAUGUCCUGACGCUGAGGAGCGAAAGUGUGGGGAGCGAACAGG